GUAGUCUCGCACAGAUGCAUAUCAAUAAGCGAGGAAAAGAAACUAACAAGGAUUCCCUUAGUAACGGCGAGUGAAGCGGGAAGAGCUCAAAUUUGAAAUCUUCAAGGUUUUACCUUGACGAAUUGUAGUUUAAAGAAGUGUUUUCUGUUGAAGUUUUGGUAAAAGUUCUUUGGAAUAGGACAUCAUAGAGGGUGAGAAUCCCGUAUUUGACCAUUAUUUUCAGCUGUGUGAUACACUUUCAAAGAGUCGGAUUGUUUGGGAAUGCAGUCCAAAAUGGGUGGUAAAUUUCAUCUAAAGCUAAAUAUUGGCGAGAGACCGAUAGCGAACAAGUACCGUGAGGGAAAGAUGAAAAGAACUUUGAAAAGAGAGUUAAACAGUACGUGAAAUUGUCAAAAGGGAAGCGUUUGACACCAGUGUUGUUUUCUCGAAAAUCAAUUAAAAAGAGUUUGAUUUUGUUGUGUAUUGACCUUAACAGCUUGCAUUUCAAUUUUCUUGCUUUUUUUAAUGCACUUUUCGUUUAACAAGUCAACAUCAGUUUCUUUUGUUGUAAAAAAGCUUGAGGAAGGUGGCUUGAGAUUCGUCUUAAGUGUUUAUAGCCUCUUGCCUAUGCAGUCGGAGAGAUUGAGGUCUGCAGCGUAGAUCCUUCGGGGCUAAAUGCAUUUGUGCUAAGUUAUAGCAUUUUAUAGACAACUUGUUGACUAUGAUUUAGUCUUGUAGCUUACUCGCUUAUGUUAUUUUACCUACGCUUAGGAUGUUGAGCGCAUGUCUCUCUCU
rnacentral:rRNA from 1 species